AUUCCCGUGUUGUUCUCCAAAACGGAAAAUGACCCUCCGUCUAGUGUCAGCACCGCCAUCAUUCUCUCUCUUCACCUGCCGCUCCACCGCGUCCACCGCGUCCACCGCCCUCCCUCCGCCUACGCCGACACCAACGCCAGUGCCAGCUUCUUCUAUUCCACCGUCUCCGCCGUUAACGUGCGCACUUCAUUGCCCGCACUUCCAAUCGUGUUCGGGGUGCACGCACGAGUUCAACCUCCACCGUCCGGUCAUACUGGACGAUGCCAACGAUUUCUUUCGGAAACACGGUGUCUCCGACUUCACAUUUGACACGUGUAAACUGUGGGGUUGGAGGUGCCGUGCGAAAUUGGCCGUGCGUGGCUCUUCAACGGAGCCUCUGAUCGGGCUCUAUGAGGAGGGUACUCAUAACAUAGUUGACAUUCCACAAUGCAAAGCUCAUCAUCCUAAUAUUAAUGCUGCUGUGGAGCUGCUUCGACGGGGUAUUACUGAAUUAGGCAUUGGACCAUACAUUGAAGAUGAAGUUACCGGUGAUUUGCGAUAUGUCCAGAUGGCGGUGACGACUUAUAAUACAUCUCUUCCUGCGGCUGAAAGAUAUAUGAACGGAAAGGUUCAGAUUACAUUGGUUUGGAAUUCUAGAAAUGAAAAUUCACCUGGUGCUGACAAACUGAAUGCAUUGGCAAAUUUUCUAUGGAAAAAUGGUGGGCCACGGAGCAGGGUUCAUUUAAUUCACUCUGUGUGGGCGAACUUUCAGACUUCUACUAACAAUAUAAUUUUUGGGAAUAGAUGGAGACAUCUUCUUGGAGAAAGAGAUUUUUGGGAACAUGUUGGUGGAAUUGAUGUGUCCUUGGAACCUUCUAGUUUUGGCCAGGCAAACACACGGGCUUUUGAUACCUUGCUGCGGAAGUUACAGAAAUAUGUUCCAUAUGAAUCAGCUGUUGCUGAUUUGUAUGCUGGAGCUGGGGUUAUUGGGUUGUCAUUAGCUGCCACGAGAAAAUGCAGAUCUGUAAAAUGCAUUGAGAUAAACAAAGAGUCGAAGGCAUCUUUUGAGAAGACCAUUGAACGUUUACCUUCCACUGUUGACAGCAGUAUUACUUGGCAUCAUGCAGAUGCUUCAAAGGAGCCUUUUUUGUGGCUUGUGGGAUCAGAUGUUGUUGUCAUUGAUCCUCCUAGAAAAGGACUAGAUGCAUCUCUUAUUGAUGCAUUGAAAAACAUAUCAUCAAUCGAGCGGAAAGCCUUGUCAUCUUCUGAAAGCUCAAACUCAUCCCAGGAAGAGAAAAGACCAUGGGUUUUACGUGCUAAAGAAGCUUCAGUCCAGAUUGGAAGCAAACCACUACCGGCUAACAUCCCUCAAUCAGUGCCACAAACCCUUAUUUAUAUAAGUUGUGGAUGGGAAAGUUUUAAAGAGGACUGCAAGUCAUUGUUGUCUAGCAAGGCAUGGUAUUUGGAAAAAGCUCAUGGAUUUAAUUUCUUUCCUGGUACCCAGAGCAUUGAAGUCCUAGCAGUGUUCAAGAGGGGCCCUCAGAAAAAGAAACCAGGAAAGAAAAAGAAAAAACACUUGCAAAGAGCUGUGAAACAUUAACUUGGACAGGGUUCGAUAUACAGAUUUUCGUGUACAACAUCAAAUUUAUGUAAUGUUGCAUUGAAGAAAAGAAAUGAUGACGAAGUCCAACUUGCCUGAAGAGAAUCAUUGCUUUUGCUACUGACAUGCUCUCUAGCACGGUAAAGGGAGUUGUAUUGGUUAGAGGAUGUAGAUCUACAAACAUCUCCAUUUCCUCGCUGGUCACAGCCACCCCUUCAAUACUUCCUUCUCUCUCAGCAAGCUCUACCCAGGUAAAUUUCUCUCUCACUUCCCAGUCCAUUGUUCUCCUUCUUUCUUUAAAGAACCACUUCUUCUUUAGUGCUUGGAUGAGAUGUGCUCUUAAAACUAGUCCAUGCAACUCUGUUGCUCCAUUGGCAUGUCCUACUACUGGUGGUACUACUACCCCAUCAUCCAAAACAGGAAAGCCAUUAUGCGUAGUGUUUUUCAAGACAUCUACUAUUUUAGAUACCUUCUCUAUUCCGUGGAGGGUAACCACUGAUGGCUUUACAUCAACAAGCUCACCCACAGUGAGAUUUCUCAUCCAUGGCUCGGGAUUUGCAUCCAUGAAAGGGAGGCCUUUCAAGUGCAGUAUAAUUUCAUAGAUACUUGGGUUGAAACUGUCUCCCACAGUUUUGGCUAUUAGGAGAACAAUCAUUGUUAUUGGUAAUAGAAGAAGAUUAUUGGUGAGUUCUAGAAAGAUCACACAAAGGGAUACCGUCAUCCUCAUGGAACCAGCCAUGAGGGAGGCUGCACCAAGUACGGCAAACAGCCCUUGGUCAAUGUUUGUAUGAGGCCCCAUAUAGAAGCCAAGAAGGCGUCCAUAACCUGAGCCCAUAAGAAUAAUUGGGAGGAAAAGCCCAGAUGGCACUGCAAUUCCAAAAGUAAUUAGUCCUAAUAUGCAAUAUAGUACAAAGAAAAUUAGGAGGGACAUGGGUUGAUAUUCUAGAGGGGUGUUGGUUGAGAAUAUGUUUCGAACAGCAUCGUCAUUAGUGGUAAGCAGCAGAGUGGCCAGAUCGUUAUAGAAGCCAGGUGGGCAGUUGAAUUGUUUGAAAUUUCCGGAUCGUCCAUUGGUGGGGCAUGCUGACUCUGGAAUCGAUGAAUCACAUGGGGUACAUUUUGCUAAGAAUGGGAGACCAUAUUGGCACAUAGAUGUGAAGAGUGCAACUGCAAGACUGAGGAGGAGUUUAUGUAUCUUUCCUUUCCUGCAACAAUUAAAGUCUUAUGUGUUUUUAAAAGUUAAGGAUGUGCAAUAUGUUGAGGCGAGGGUUGGAUAUCAUUGCUUACUGAUUGAUGAGAUUGUAGAGUCUGAGGAUCUUGUGUAGCACAUGAUUGUAAAGGCUUCCCAAUACCCCGCCUAUAAUACCAAUGACUACAACGAUGACAAUAUCCAUAGCAUGGUACCUCACUGUGACAUUGCUUACAUCAAACAUAAUCAGACCUCCUUCACCAAAAAGGCCACAUUUUCCAGAAUUGCAGAUUUCAAUGAAGGCCCUGAGAACCACCA